rnacentral:rRNA from 1 species
GUCGAACGGAAGUACCUUCGGGUACUUUAGUGGCGAACGGGUGAGUAAUACAUAGGUAACCUACCCUUAAGACGAGGAUAGCCAUUGGAAACGAUGGAUAAAACUGGAUAGGAUAUAGAGGAAGAAUCUUUUAUAUUUAAAAGAGAGAUCUGCUUAAGGAGGGGCCUGUGGCGCAUUAGCUAGUUGGUGGGGUAAGGGCCUACCAAGGCGAUGAUGCGUAGCCGGACUGAGAGGUUGAACGGCCACAAUGGAACUGAGAACGGUCCAUACUCCUACGGGAGGCAGCAGUAGGGAAUUUUCGGCAAUGGGGGGAACCCUGACCGAGCAACGCCGCGUGAACGAAGAAGUUAUUCGUAAUGUAAAGUUCUUUUAUCAGGGAAGAAAGAGGAAUUUGACGGUACCUGAGGAAUAAGCUCCGGCUAACUACGUGCCAGCAGCCGCGGUAAUACGUAGGGAGCGAGCGUUAUCCGGAAUUAUUGGGCGUAAAGGGUGCGUAGAUGGCAUAGUAAGUCUUUUGUAAAAAUGCUGGGCUCAACCCAGUAGGGCAAAAGAUACUGCAAAGCUAGAGUAUGACAGAGGCAAGUGGAACUACAUGUGUAGCGGUAAAAUGCGUAAAUAUAUGUAAGAACACCAGUGGCGAAGGCGGCUUGCUGGGUCGAUACUGACAUUGAGGC